rnacentral:lncRNA from 1 species
UCCCGAGUAGCUGGGAUUACCGGCACAUACCACCAGGCCUGGCUCAUUUUUUUGUAUUUUUAGUAGAGAUGGGGUUUCACCAUGUUGGCCAGGCUGGUCUUGGACUCCUGACCUCAGGUGAUCCGCCCACCUCAGCCUCCCAAAGUGCUGGGAUUACAGGCGUGAGCCAACCCGCCCGGCUUACAGCAUAUUUUUAAAAAAGAUACUUGCCUGCUACCACUGACUAACUGGCCGAUUUAGAAAGUUGGUUUGGUUUUUAAGGUUUUAAUCUCCUUACAAACAAAAUAAGCAUCAUAACACCUAUACUUCACAGAAUUGUUCUGAGGAUCAAAUAAAAUGAUGUGACAAUAUUUUGAAAAUGAUACAACUUGACUAUAAAUGUUAGUUUUACUUGUAUUAACUAAAAUUGCCAAAUGAGAAUCUUUGUGGACAGGUGUAGGUUGUAUUACGAACAUUUGAACUAUGCCUACUUUUGAUCUAAUAAAAUAUUUUCUGAGCCAGUUUUUAGAGAUGUCGUACAAAAGAAUACUAAGCCUAUCAAUUGAGGAAAUCUUCACUAACUAGAAGAUUAUUUUAAAUCACGGUUCCUGUCAAAUUUAAUAUAAAACAAGGCCAUUAAAAUAACAAGUCACUGGAUUCAAAUUUGAUUUCACUUUCAAGGGGAUACUUCAGUUAAGUGUAUAAAAGCUACUUCAAUUCAACCUAAGUCUACAAAAAAGUCCCUCUGUCCCCUUGGGAGUCCUAAUUUACUGAAAAUAAAAAUUCUGUCUCCAUAACAAGCAAUCUCUGAAUUAGGUCAGAGCAAUACAACUGUGAUUUCCACACCCAGCCCCCCACUGUUUAAUCAGACCAUAACUUCCACCAAAGAGAGACAGAUGGUAAGUCUCCAACCUCCACCAGAGAAACAGAUGGUAAGUAUAGUAUAUAAGCAUCAGGAGUGAUCAUUUAUCACGAACAUUAAAAAUACAGGUAAACAAGUAGAUCACUUACUGGUAGGAGUUUUUGUUGGCUUAGAACCCUCCGUCUCUUUUUCAUCUGUGUAUUUCAGUGCUCUUUUAGCUAGAGGCCUGGUGACUGGUCUAUCUGAAUUGCUCGUGGGAUUCUGAAUGUACUUGCAAGUGGGCAAAUAGAGGUCAUCGGAAUCAUCUCCUGAACCACUUGAUUCACAGAGGCUCACUUCAGACUCGUUGUUUUCUUCUCUAUUAGAGUCAUUGCUCACUUUUUGUCGGAAAGGAGUAAGAUGAACACCCUCUUCCAAAUUAAAAUUUAAACGUUCCUGGCUGAAUCAGCUUUGGUGAUAAGUUAACUUGGUCCUUGCUCCAUUGACAAGCAUUGUGUUGUACAUUUUCAGAGAAUUUUCUACUCUAGACAUUAAACAGAUUUAGGGACUCCAGGAAGGCCGGGGGGAGGUGGGGCUGGCGGAAGUGGACGCGGCGACCCUCCUGCCGCAGGCGCGUCCAGAACGAUACCUUGGCCACUACUUCUGCAACAGCUAUCUUCCUCCUCCUCACAUUUCAAGGCUCUUCGAAGCUCUCCAGCCACGGCUAGCCCCGCGCACUGGGCCCUCCAGGACCGUACCACCGUCCGCCGUCGCCUGGAACUACCGCCGCCACAUUCGAAAUUUUCCGCCUCGCUCCUCCAUUGGUUGGCUGGGAGGCGGUCACGUGGCGCAGGAUGCACCCAACACCACCGUCGCAGGCAGAGUCCCGCCCCGCCAGGCGACGUCACGUGACGCACAUUCGCUCAAGUCCACAUCCGGGCAUCCACCUGGCCCUGGGGCGGAGCCUGCGGUCGGGUCUCGGCGACCCGCCGGGACUUUCUAAUCAGAGUCGUGGGGAUUUUACGGGUGGAGUUACUCCGAAACCUUUAAGGCCGAGUGUGAUAGGUAGUUCAAAGCUUCCUGUUUCUUCAGUCUGACAGCUUCAAAUGUCCCGGGUUGUGCUCAAAGCCUCCCUCUUGUGAGAAGAAUCUCUUUGGUUGCCUGUUAAAGCGGUCAGCCAGCUUGCAACACGGAAGCAGCUUUUAGAGGAAUUAAAACCAAAACAAGGAGCAAAUUCUGGAUUAAAAAGGUAUUAGGGAAACUGCAGAUACCUGAAAAUUCUAGCUCCAUGUUUCUCUUUGCCGGCUAUCUCUGGCUCUUUAACUCUUCUCGAGAAAUGGCACCAACAUCCAUCCAGUUACCGACUAGAAGCCUGAGAAAUCGUCCUUAAUGAUUAUUUAUCCUCUCUUAACCUUUGCCCGUCCAGUCGGUCACACGAUCUUCUCAACUCUGCUUUCCAAGUUUCUCUCAUGCCCAUCUUUUUCCCCCCAAUCCAGCUUCCAGCCUAAUCUCAUUCCCUAAAUUGCACUAGUACCCACUCUGACCGCAGACUCCACUCCCUAUAUUCUUCAUAGAUUAAUAUUUUUACAAAACAAGUAUCAAAUAGGAAACUUUACAAUGGCUCCCUAUUGCAUUUAAGGUGAAUUUCAAACUCCUUUAAGAUAUUUUGUCCUUAAAGAGCCCCAUGAUUCCUGGUUCCAUCACUUGUACAUUUUCUUUAAUUUUCUUAAAAUUCUUGCCACUUUUGCCAAUGCUGUUCUGUCAAGAACACUCUUUCCCUUGGCCGAACUUACUCCUAUGUAUACUGAAGUUUCACUGUACAGAUGAAUUCUUCCAGAAAGACUUAUCUACCCCUAAAGCCCCUGAGUGUCUGCUUUACACUUUCUUAGUGCCCUGCAUUUUCCCCUUGGUAUUCCUUGUGACACUGACUUGUCGUUCAUUGCCUGUUUCUUGAAGUUGAAUAAGGGCAGGAACUACAUCUGCUUUGUUCAUAGCUAAAUUGUCAGCAUCUCGUUGCAAUUUGAAGUAAGUAGUAAAUAUUCACUGGGACAAUAAAGGAACAAAUAAAUGAAAACGAAACAAAUGUUUUGAAUCUAGGCAUUCUUUAUGAAGGUGUGUUGUUGUUUUUUAAAGGUAGCUAACACAUGCUUGCUCUAGUCUGGGUACCCAUCCUGGCUUGAGUGGAAGAGGCUGAAACACCCUUCUCCAGCCAACAACUCCCUCGUUUUCCAAGUUAACCAGACCAACUCCAUUAACCCUCAGUUUACUGCCACUGGGCAAUGUGGCUUAUAUGUGUAGAAGCAUCAAGAAGGAAUGGGCAGAGAGGUUUUUUGUUGUUUGAGGUCAGAAAAUUAUGAAGUGGAACAUGAGAGCAGAGAAUAGGGCCAGCUUCAUGAGCAGGCAACCGGUGCUUAGAAGGGCUGUACAUUUGGUUUAAUGCUCUGCUGUUGCCGUCUUGAAAUGCUUAGGAGUUUAUAUUUGAACUUAUGUUUUGUAAGUGAUGUCUGAUGAGACAAUGGAGCAAUCUUGUGAGCAGAUGUGAUUCAUGCAAUGUGUGUGUCUGUCACUGUUUCUUGCCCCAUGUCAUACAAUGUUCAGGAUGCGCACUAAAUGGCCUCCAUGAACCACUUAUUUUGUAGUUAGGGACCUAAGUACAAAGUGCUCAGAAGGGCUCACCCUUGCCCUCUUGAAAUUAUUAUUAUUUUCUUUGAGACGGAGUUUUGCUGUGUCUCCCA